rnacentral:lncRNA from 1 species
UGAAUGGCGUCACUGGACUUAUCAGGAUGCUGUGACACCCCAGGAGUGCUACUCAGAAGAGCAGAAGGCCUACUUUUCCAGUCUGCCUGCCCAAGGAUUGGCCCUGUGUGGCUUGGCUCAGCCCUCAGAGAAGCCUCGCUCUCCAUACCCUGACUUUCCCUUCACCACACUCACCCCCAAGAAGCCUCAAAAGCUCAGCAGAGCCCACGGCCUCUCCACCUGGAUCCCCUGUCCCUUGAUACCUUUCUU